rnacentral:rRNA from 1 species
GACGAACGCUGGCGGCGUGCUUAACACAUGCAAGUCGAACGGAAAGGCCCUGCUUGCGGGGUACUCGAGUGGCGAACGGGUGAGUAACACGUGGGUGAUCUGCCCUCCACUUCGGGAUAAGCCUGGGAAACUGGGUCUAAUACCGGAUAGAAGCCAUUUUUAGUGAGAUUGUUGGAAAGUUUUUUCGGUGUAGGGUGAGUUCGCGGCCUAUCAGCUUGUUGGUGGGGUAAUGGCCUACCAAGGCGGCGACGGGUAGCCGGCCUGGGAGGGUGGACGGCCACAUUGGGACUGGGAUACGGCCCAGACUCCUACGGGAGGCAGCAGUGGGGAAUAUUGCACAAUGGGCGCAAGCCUGAUGCAGGGACGCCGCGGGGGGGGUGACGGCCUUCGGGUUGUAAACUCCUUUCGCUAGGGACGAAGCUUUUUGUGACGGUACCUAGAUAAGAAGCACCGGCUAACUACGUG